UUUUCCUUAAGUUUGUUCUAUCGUUCAACUUCUUCAUCUUGCUAGCGAGUUACAGAUUUGCUUUCACUCUGAAAUCUGUCUCUCCGAUCGGUGUUCUGCAAAAGCUAUGGCAGCCUCUUCAUUUUCUUUGCUUCAACUCAGAUUCUUCGCCUUCUUCCAUUUGCAGCAGAUUAAUCACUCCAGAAGGAUUCAUUUUCAGAUGAUACUUGACGAAUCAUUUCUUUGCCCGAGUUUCGGCGAUGUCUGAAUCCAGAAGGAUUCACUUUCAGAUGAUCCUCGACGAAUCAUUUCUUUGCCCGAGUUUCGGUGUUCUGAAUCCAGUCUAGCAGGUGCCGGACGGCGUCUCCAAUCUUAGCCGGGCAACCCAGCUCGUCCAACACUCCAUUCCGUUACUCUGCCGCCGGUAAAUGUCGGCUCCGCCUCCGUUCUCCGCCGUUUCUCUGCCAAGGUCCACUCCAUUUCCUCCACUUUAAUGAAAUGCCACGCCGAUUUCAAGGCUUUACUUCCACUUCCAACUCUCAUGAAGCUUUUAUUUCCUUUUGGUAAUGGCCAUCACUUUUGAAAUAGUGGCCGGCCACUUUGGGAUCAUUUUGAUUAAAAUAAUUGACCACGAACCAUCGAAAUGUUACGAACCACGACUUUCGGUGAUUGUAUGAUAUUGUACACUGAGUAUUAAGUUCUCUUAGCUUUACUUUUAGCAUAGCUUCAUACCAAUGAAGAUAGUAUUAUUUGAUUAUAAAUCCAUGAUCGAUGUGGGAUUUUCAU